AACGAACGCUGGCGGCAUGCCUAACACAUGCAAGUCGAACGAGACCUUCGGGUCUAGUGGCGCACGGGUGCGUAACGCGUGGGAACCUGCCCUUAGGUUCGGAAUAACUCCCCGAAAGGGGUGCUAAUACCGGAUAAUGUCUUCGGACCAAAGAUUUAUCGCCUUUGGAUGGGCCCGCGUUGGAUUAGCUAGUUGGUAGGGUAAAAGCCUACCAAGGCGACGAUCCAUAGCUGGUCUGAGAGGAUGAUCAGCCACACUGGGACUGAGACACGGCCCAGACUCCUACGGGAGGCAGAAGUGGGGAAUAUUGGACAAUGGGCGAAAGCCUGAUCCAGCAAGGCCGCGUGAGUGAUGAAGGCCUUAGGGUUGUAAAGCUCUUUUACCCGGGAUGAUAAUGACAGUACCGGGAGAAUAAGCUCCGGCUAACUCCGUG
rnacentral:rRNA from 1 species